rnacentral:rRNA from 1 species
UCCAGACUCCUACGGGAGGCAGCAGUGGGGAAUAUUGCACAAUGGGGGAAACCCUGAUGCAGCGACGCCGCGUGAGUGAAGAAGUAUUUCGGUAUGUAAAGCUCUAUCAGCAGGGAAGAAGAAGGACGGUACCUGAGUAAGAAGCCCCGGCUAACUACGUGCCAGCAGCCGCGGUAAUACGUAGGUGGCAAGCGUUAUCCGGAUUUACUGGGUGUAAAGGGCGUGUAGGCGGGAAAGCAAGUCAGAUGUGAAAACCAUGGGCUCAACCUGUGGCCUGCAUUUGAAACUGUUUUUCUUGAGUACUGGAGAGGCAGACGGAAUUCCUAGUGUAGCGGUGAAAUGCGUAGAUAUUAGGAGGAACACCAGUGGCGAAGGCGGCUUCCUGGUCUGCAACUGACACUGAGGCGCGAAAGCGUGGGGAGCAAACAGGAUUAGAUACCCUUGUACC